GAUGAACGCUGGCGGCAUGUUUAACACAUGCAAGUCGGACGGGAAGUGGUUUUUCCUGUGGCGUGCUGGUGUGUCACGCGUAAGAAUCUGCCCUUGGUAAGGUGACCUCAACUUUAAACUGUUUCUAAUACCCCGUAGCCUGUACAGCAUAAGAAGUCAUCCGCCCGAGGAGGGGCUUGCGUAUGAUUAGCUAGUUGGUGAGGUAAUAGCUUACCAAGGCGAUGGUCAUUAGCUGGUCGGAGAGGAUGAUCAGCAAUACUGGGACGGAGACACGGAGCAGACUACGAGGGGAAGCAGCAGUGGGGAAUGUACAGCAAUGGGAGGAAGGAUGAAGGAGCAAUGCGGGGGGGAGGAAGAAGGUCGAGGGGUAGAGAACUUCUGUUCGCGGAGAAGAAAGAAUGACGGUAACUGAGGAAUAAGCAUCGGCUAACUCUGUG
rnacentral:rRNA from 1 species